rnacentral:rRNA from 1 species
UAAGCGGUUGAAGGUGUGUGGUAACGCAUGCUGGACGUAUCAGAAGUGCGAAUGCUGACAUGAGUAACGAUAAAGGGGGUGAAAAACCUCCUCGCCGGAAGACCAAGGGUUCCUGUCCAACGUUAAUCGGGGCAGGGUAAGUCGACCCCUAAGGCGAGGCCGAAAGGCGUAGUCGAUGGGAAACGGGUUAAUAUUCCCGUACUUCUUACAAUUGCGAUGGGGGGACGGAGAAGGCUAGGUGGGCCUGGCGACGGUUGUCCAGGUUCAAGUGCGUAGGCUUAAGAGUUAGGUAAAUCCGGCUCUUUUUAAGGCUGAGACACGACGUCGAGCUACUACGGUAGUGAAGUCAUUGAUGCCAUGCUUCCAGGAAAAGCCUCUAAGCUUCAGAUUGUAAGGAAUCGUACCCCAAACCGACACAGGUGGUCGGGUAGAGAAUACCAAGGCGCUUGAGAGAACUCGGGUGAAGGAACUAGGCAAAAUGGUACCGUAACUUCGGGAGAAGGUACGCUCUUGAUGGUGAAGUCCCUCGCGGAUGGAGCUGACGAGAGUCGCAGAUACCAGGUGGCUGCAACUGUUUAUUAAAAACACAGCACUGUGCAAAAUCGUAAGAUGACGUAUACGGUGUGACGCCUGCCCGGUGCCGGAAGGUUAAUUGAUGGGGUUAGACUUCGGUCGAAGCUCUUGAUCGAAGCCCCGGUAAACGGCGGCCGUAACUAUAACGGUCCUAAGGUAGCGAAAUUCCUUGUCGGGUAAGUUCCGACCUGCACGAAUGGCGUAAUGAUGGCCACGCUGUCUCCACCCGAGACUCAGUGAAAUUGAAAUCGCUGUGAAGAUGCAGUGUACCCGCGGCUAGACGGAAAGACCCCGUGAACCUUUACUACAGCUUGGCACUGAACAUUGACCCUACAUGUGUAGGAUAGGUGGGAGGCUUUGAAGCACGUACGCCAGUAUGUGUGGAGCCGUCCUUGAAAUACCACCCUUGUAGUGUUGAUGUUCUAACGUCGACCCCUUAUCGGGGUUGCGGACAGUGCCUGGUGGGUAGUUUGACUGGGGCGGUCUCCUCCCAAAGAGUAACGGAGGAGCACGAAGGUGGGCUAAUCACGGUUGGACAUCGUGAGGUUAGUGCAAUGGCAUAAGCCCGCUUGACUGCGAGAAUGACAAUUCGAGCAGGUGCGAAAGCAGGUCAUAGUGAUCCGGUGGUUCUGAAUGGAAGGGCCAUCGCUCAACGGAUAAAAGGUACUCCGGGGAUAACAGGCUGAUACCGCCCAAGAGUUCAUAUCGACGGCGGUGUUUGGCACCUCGAUGUCGGCUCAUCACAUCCUGGGGCUGAAGUCGGUCCCAAGGGUAUGGCUGUUCGCCAUUUAAAGUGGUACGCGAGCUGGGUUUAGAACGUCGUGAGACAGUUCGGUCCCUAUCUGCCGUGGGCGUUGGAAGAUUGAAGGGGGCUGCUCCUAGUACGAGAGGACCGGAGUGGACGAACCUCUGGUGUUCGGGUUGUGUCGCCAGACGCAUUGCCCGGUAGCUAAGUUCGGAAUCGAUAACCGCUGAAAGCAUCUAAGCGGGAAGCGAGCCCUGAGAUGAGUCUUCCCUGAUACUUUAAGUAUCCUAAAGGGUUGUCGGAGACUACGACGUUGAUAGGUCAGGUGUGUAAGUGCUGUGAGGCAUUGAGCUAACUGAUACUAAUUGCCCGUGAGGCUUAACCAU